GCUGGCCGGACGCUCUCAGCGCGGACGCCCUCAGGGCUGGGUCCGCAGAGGCUUGGGCCCCAGGCCUCGGGUCACUCGGCCGAAAGCACACGAGCACAGAGCCGGCGGCCCCGCGGGUGCUCUCGGUUCUCGGACAGCCCUGGGCCGGGGCUGAGGGGCGGCGGCGGCGCCACCCACGUGGCCUGCCUGUGCUCUCCCGGCGCCUGAGACCCGGGCCCUGAGCGCCUGGCGGGGGAGGGAAGGCAGCACUUCCGGUGCCCGGGUUCGCCCGAAAAUUCACGAGAAAAGCGGUGAGAAAAUGGCAGUCUAUGAACCAGGAAGAGUCCUCACCAGAACCCGAUCCUGCUGAUCCCAGACCUGCAGCCUCCAGAGCUGUGAGGAAUACACGUCGUCAUGUAAGCCUCUGGUCUGUGGUGUUUUUGUCAUAGCAGCUGAACCGAUAAGACAAAGUUUUAUUUUUUCCUUUUAAAAAUUAUUCCUGUUUAUUUUUCACAUUU